AAGCUGCGAUACGUAAUGUGAAUUGCAGAAAUCAGUGAAUCAUCGAGUCUUUGAACGCAACUUGCGCUCUUGGGUAUUCCCAGGAGCAUGCCUGCUUGAGUGUCAUUACAACUCUCCUUUUUCUUUUUUUUCUUCGGAGGAAAAACAAAGAGGGCUCUGAGCUGAGACAGAUCUUGGCAUCUGUGCAGCUUCAAGUUUGUUGGUGAGGGAGCAAAAGGCAACUUUUGUUUUCUUCCUAUUACCACCUGAUGUGGCAACUUUUCUCUUCGGAGAGAACGAAGCAUCUUGUGAGGGAAAGAAAAGAAAGGGUCUUCUUUUUUGUUCUAAUUCCAAACUCACUCGUAAUGAACCGUGCGUGCGUGGGGUCACACCUCACACACACACACACACACUCAACAUGUGACCUCAGGUCAGGCAAGACUACCCGCUGAACUUAAGC
rnacentral:misc_RNA from 1 species